CCGCCCGCCAGUCGGGCAGCUCCGGCGCCGCGCGCUCCGCCGCCUCGGGGAGGUCUCGCCUGCGCCGCGGGGGGCGAGCAGGAGCCGGGAGGGGGAGACGAGACUUCAUUGGCACAGGCUCCCAGAGAAGCCAGGCCUCUGCAUUCCUGGAAGCUGCCCAAAGCAGGUCAGACAGGCAGUUGGCGGGGAUGGAUCCAGCAGGACCUGAGCAGGGCCUGGACCAGGCAGCUGCAUGAGGUCCCUUCCAGUCUUACGUCCCUGCUGGUCGAGCAGGCUCUGCGCUUUGGGAGAUUUCAGCAGUCUUGAUGCUACUGUCAGCAAAUGAUGUCAGGAUCACGGUUGUUAAAGUUUUGAUUGCUCUUGUUUGCCUUAUUGUCAUGUUCCCUUUGUCAAAUCAAGGUUCAGCUGCUUGACUUUAUCCCUGAGCACUGUGGUAACGUUGCCUUUCUGUGUUGCAUGUUAAAAUCUUGCAUGUUUCUAAGUGUUGUAAAUUAAAUCAUGGGUAAAUCAGAUGGUACAAUAACUUUCAAAAGGGCUUGCUCACCCUGCAUAGUAUGUUAGGUAAUUAUGGAAAUCACCGUACCUGUGUAGCCAGGCUUGGCAGAAUUCAAUUUUAUUAUUAUUAUUUGGAUGGCUAAAAUCCAUGUUUAUUUUUAAGCUUUUUUUCUGAUUUUUUUUAUUGAUUUGAAACUUUCAGGAUUGCGCCAAAUUAGGGGUGUGUUUUGGAUCAGCUCUCCACAGGUGUUUGGCCCUUGUGUGAUCUGAGCAAGGGCCAAACUCCUCCGGAGCCUGGCCUGACCCCUGGGUGAUCAGGGCAGGGGCCAAACUCCCACAGAGGCCAGGCUGGAACAGGCUCUUGGGACUUUGCUUUUCCUCAGCUGGGCACAGUUAGGGGCUGUUGGUACUGGGCUCCUUACUGCUACCAGCCCUGCCCCUGCAGCCCUGCCACCUUUGACACAGUCUUAACGGCACAGUGGCUGGUGUGUAUGUGCAUGUGUAAAGUGCCCCCUGCCCCCCAUUUCUAUACCUCCAUGCCAGAAUUUAUUUAUUUUUUUAUAAUUACCGAUGGAAAUAUUUUUCCAUCUAUCAGUGUCAGGUGAAAUGGAUGUCUAUCAAUAAAAAUCAAAUCCUGUCAAA